rnacentral:misc_RNA from 1 species
GCCAGUUCGUUUUGUUCCUCUCUCUUUCUCUCGCCUAAUUUGAUCUUGCAUUUCUCCUUCUAUUUACUUGUUUCUCAAACACCUAAUCUACUUCCGUCAUCACUAAGCAGCUAUCUAUCUGCAAUUUGUUGUAUUUUUGGAUCCAUCGACAUGUCGUUAUCGGAUUCCGACUCCUCAUCUUAUGGUGCCGAGCACAAGAAUUUUAGACAAAUCAGCCGUGAACGUUUAUUACAUGAAAUGCUU